GAUGAACGCUGACAGAAUGCUUAACACAUGCAAGUCUUUGGCGAAGCUGUGCUUGCACAGCCUAGCCAAGGCGGACGGGUGAGUAACGCGUAAGGAACUUGCCCUGCAGUCAGGGAUAACAGACGGAAACGACUGAUAAGACCUGGUAAAGUCAGGCGGACUCAUGUCCAGCCUGAUGAAAAGAGAUGCUGCAGGAGAGCCUUGCGUCCUAUUAGCUUGUUGGUGGGGUAACGGCCCACCAAGGCGAUGAUAGGUAUCCGGCCUGAGAGGGUGGACGGCCACAAGGGGACUGAGAUACGGCCCUUACUCCUACGGGAGGCAGCAGUGGGGAAUAUUGGACAAUGGGGGCAACCCUGAUCCAGCAAUUCUGUGUGCACGAUGAAGGUUUUCGGAUUGUAAAGUGCUUUCAGCAGGGAAGAAAAAAAUGACGGUACCUGCAGAAGAAGCGACGGCUAAAUACGUG
rnacentral:rRNA from 1 species